rnacentral:rRNA from 1 species
GUCGUCAGCUCGUGUCGUGAGAUGUUGGGUUAAGUCCCGCAACGAGCGCAACCCUUGUCAUUAGUUGCUACGAAAGGGCACUCUAAUGAGACUGCCGGUGACAAACCGGAGGAAGGUGGGGAUGACGUCAAGUCCUCAUGGCCCUUAUAGGUGGGGCUACACACGUCAUACAAUGGCCGGUACAAGGGGUCGCAAACCCGCGAGGGGGAGCUAAUCCAUCAAAGCCGGUCGUAGUCCGGAUCGCAGUCUGCAACUCGACUGCGUGAAGUCGGAAUCGCUAGUAAUCGUGGAUCAGCAUGUCACGGUGAAUACGUUCCCGGGUCUUGUACACACCAACGCGAAGAACCUUACCCACCUUUGACAUGUACGGAAUUUGCCAGAGAUGGCUUAGUGCUCGAAAGAGAGCCGUAACACAGGUGCUGCAUGGCU